UGAGAACACACCAGGGAGUGGACUUUUAUUGGGGAACAAAAAAAUUGGGGGAAAAUCCCAUCCAAUGAAGAUUAAGGGGGGCAGUGUCCCAAGGUCAGGUGCGACGACUGGAUCUUGGGGUAGUGGCCAGACACGCCUCCACACGGACAAGCCCUCGGACCUGAGAAGGGUGGGGAAAGCUCUGGACACAAGGAUGUGUCUAAGGCCUCUCGCCCAGCCAGGGAGGUAACUCAAAUCACGUGGGAGGAUGGCCUCCCACAGACUGGGGCUAUGGUUGUAGUUCAGUGGUAGAGCACUUGUCUGGCACAUGUGAGAUACUGGGUUCAAUCCUCAGCACCACAUAAACAUAAAUAAAUAAAAAAUAAAGGUAUUGUGCCCAUCUACAACUAAAAGUAAUAAUAAAUAAAAAGGACUGGGGAUAUAGCUCAGUUGUAGAAUACUCUUGAAUUUACCACUCCCCCCCAGUACAGAAAGAAUUACAACAAAGCCUUUUAUCUUAUCUAAAUGUUUUUUUUAAAAAAUUAGUUAUAUGUAUCCUUUAUUUUUAGCCAUACAAAGCAUGAAGAAAAGACUAUUGCCACUUUUUUAAAAAAAUGGUGUUGUAAUAGCAAAAAAGAAAAAAAAAAGAAGAUAAUAAAUGCCCAUGAUUAGGAAAUAAACUAUUGCUAUAACAAUGCUGAAGAAUACUAUUUAGGCAUCUAAAGAAUCAAAUUUCUUCAUGCCAUAAUUUUAGGUGGAAAACACUUGAGCCCAAUAUGCUUAAAAAUUCAUACACUAUGCUGCCAUAAACACAUAUAAAUGCAACAAAAUGCUGGAGAUACUUGAUAUUUGUAUUAGUAAAAAUGUAUUAUGUGGCAAAAGAUAAUUGGUUGGUGUGCAGUAGAAUCGUGGGGUCCGUAUUUAAACUUUGUAUAAAGUUCGAUUUUUUUUUUUUUUUUUUUUUUGGUGGUGGUGAAGAUGGAAUGGACAGGCAAACCUUUAUCACUGAGCUAUAUUCCCAGUCUAAUUUCUCAACAUUAAACA
rnacentral:lncRNA from 1 species